rnacentral:rRNA from 1 species
AGGUUGGCUCAGAAGCAGCCAUCCUUUAAAGAGUGCGUAACAGCUCACUAGUCGAAUGACUCUGCGCCGAUAAUUUACCGGGGCUAAGCAUACUACCGAAGCUAUGGAUCCCAAGGGAUGGUAGGGGAGCGUUCCAUGAACGGAGAAGUACGACCGAAAGGACGUGUGGAGAUCAUGGAAGAGAGAAUGCCGGUGUGAGUAGCGGAACGUGGGUGAGAAUCCCACGCACCGAAAACCCAAGGUUUCCAGAGGAAGGUUCGUCCGCUCUGGGUAAGUCGGGACCUAAGGCGAGGCCGAAAGGCGUAGUCGAUGGACAACAGGUAGAGAUUCCUGUACCCGUAUAUAUGUGAAGGAAUGACGGAGAGAGGAAGCUGCAGCCAGCGGCUGGAAGAGCUGGUGCAAGCGAGAUAUCGGGAUGGCAGGCAAAUCCACCAUCCGAAACGAGAAGGCGUGAAGCGUACGGAAAGCUACGGCGAGUACGGAAGGCAGUGGAGGAACUUCCAAGAAAAGUUUCUAACGUUAAGUAUAUAUGGCCCGUACCGAAAAUGGACACACAUGGGUGAGGAGAGAAUCCUAAGGUGAGCGAGAGAACUAUAGCUAAGGAACUCUGCAAAAUGACUCCGUAACUUAGGGAGAAGGAGUGCUCAUAGAGAUAUGAGCCGCAGUGAAACGGCCCAAGCGACUGUUUACCAAAAACACAGCUCUCUGCUAAGCCGCAAGGCGAAGUAUAGGGGGUGACGCCUGCCCGGUGCUGGAAGGUUAAGGGGAGGGGUUAACGCAAGUGAAGCCCUGAACUGAAGCCCCAGUAAACGGCGGCCGUAACUAUAACGGUCCUAAGGUAGCGAAAUUCCUUGUCAGGUAAGUUCUGACCCGCACGAAAGGCGUAACGAUUUGGGCGCUGUCUCAGCUGUAGACUCGGUGAAGUCUUAGUACCUGUGAAGAUGCAGGUUACCCGCGACUAGACGGAAAGACCCCAUGGAGCUUCACUGCAGGUUGAUAUUGGGAUUUGAUGCAGCAUGUACAGGAUAGGUAGGAGGCAAAGAGAUGGAUACGCCAGUAUUCAAGGAGCCGCUGUUGGGAUACUACCCCUGUUGUAUUGGAUUUCUAACCGGACGACGUAGAACCGUUGACGGGACAGUGUCAGUCGGGCAGUUUGACUGGGGCGGUCGCCUCCCAAAGAGUAACGGAGGCGCCCAAAGAUACCCUCAGCUUGGAUGGAAACCAAGCGCAGAGUGCAAAGGCAAAAGGGUGUUUGACUGCGAGACCCACAAGUCGAGCAGGGACGAAAGUCGGGCUUAGUGAUCCGGCGGUGCUGAAUGGAAAGGCCGUCGCUCAACGGAUAAAAGCUACCCUGGGGAUAACAGGCUGAUCUCCCCCAAGAGUCCACAUCGACGGGGAGGUUUGGCACCUCGAUGUCGGCUCAUCGCAUCCUGGGGCUGUAUUCGGUCCCAAGGGUUUGGCUGUUCGCCAAUUAAAGCGGUACGCGAGCUGGGUUCAGAACGUCGUGAGACAGUUCGGUCCCUAUCUGUCGUGGGCGCAGGAAAUUUGAGAAGAGCUGUCCUCAGUACGAGAGGACCGGGAUGGACGCAUCAAUGGUGGACCAGUUGUCACGCCAGUGGCAUAGCUGGGUAGCUAAAUGCGGAAGGGAUAAACGCUGAAGGCAUCUAAGUGUGAAACCCACUUCAAGAUGAGAUUUCCCAUUGCGCAAGCAAGUAAGACCCCUUAAAGACGAUAAGGUAGAUAGGUCAGGAGUGUAAGCAUGGUGACAUGUUAAGCGGACUGAUACUAAUAGGUCGAGGGCUUGACCGA